CCUACGGGGGGCUGCAGUGAGGAAUAUUGGUCAAUGGGCGGAAGCCUGAACCAGCCAAGUAGCGUGCAGGAUGACGGCCCUACGGGUUGUAAACUGCUUUUAUACGGGAAUAACGCGCCUUACGUGUAGGUCUUUGCAUGUACCGUAUGAAUAAGGACCGGCUAAUUCCGUGCCAGCAGCCGCGGUAAUACGGAAGGUCCGGGCGUUAUCCGGAUUUAUUGGGUUUAAAGGGAGCGUAGGCCGCAUGUCAAGCGUGCUGUGAAAUGUACGGGCUCAACCCGGGCAUUGCAGCGGAUACUGGCGUGCGUGAGUCCGCGGAAGGCAGGCGGAAUUCGUGGUGUAGCGGUGAAAUGCUUAGAUAUGACGAAGAACCCCGAUUGCGAAGGCAGCUUGCUGCAGCGGAACUGACGCUGAUGCUCGAAAGCGCGGGUAUCGAACAGGAUUAGAUACCCGAGUAGUC
rnacentral:rRNA from 1 species